CAAGAUUUUCUUUCCACCUGUGAUAUCUGGGAUAAUGCUAAUCAUUUUGCAUUGGGUCUUUUCUCUACUGGGUAUUCCUAACCUUCCACUGACAGAUAAUCAAGACCAUCCAACUGACUAGGCCCAGAACGAUUCGUCGCAAUGGAGACCGGGUCCUAGUGUGAGGUUUGGACCAUUUCAACAUCAUCCCAGAUAUCCUGCGGGCUCCUCUCUCCUCGACACUAAGGCUGCAAGACUCACCCGGCUGCUGUGCUUUGUGUCUGCAAAUUUUGCGGUGAUUUCCCCAUUAACAUGAUGAACUGAAUACGGAAGCUUUGAACUUACUCCAGGCUGCUCCGGGGAUUUGGAUCUAAGGACUCAAUUUGGUUUGGAAUUCUGUUGAUGCUCACUUCUAUUGCUGCUUGCAUGAUUUACUUUGAGUUUUUUCUCUUUCUCUGUGGAAUUCGGGGGUUGGUCUUUUUUUUUAAUUGGGUUAUUUCAGGUUCCUUCCUUUGCGACUGCUUGUAAGCAAACAAAUCUCAAGGUUGUAUUAAUUAUAUAUAUUAUUUGAUAAUAA